rnacentral:rRNA from 1 species
GAUGAACGCUGGCGGCGUGCUUAACACAUGCAAGUCGAACGGAAAGGCUCCUGCUUGCAGGGGUACUCGAGUGGCGAACGGGUGAGUAACACGUGGGUGAUCUGCCCUGCACUUCGGGAUAAGCCUGGGAAACUGGGUCUAAUACCGGAUAGGACGAUGGUUUGGAUGCCAUUGUGGAAAGUUUUUCGGUGUGGGAUGAGCUCGCGGGCUAUCAGCUUGUUGGUGGGGUAAUGGCCUACCAAGGCGUCGACGGGUAGCCGGCCUGGGAGGGUGUACGGCCACAUUGGGACUGAGAUACGGCCCAGACUCCUACGGGAGGCAGCAGUGGGGAAUAUUGCACAAUGGGCGCAAGCCUGAUGCAGCGACGCCGCGUGGGGGAUGACGGCCUUCGGGUUGUAAACUCCUUUCGCUAGGGACGAAGCGCAAGUGACGGUACCUGGAGAAGAAGCACCGGCUAACUACGUG